rnacentral:pre_miRNA from 1 species
AAGAAGAAUUUUAGGCUUUGUGGGACGUGAUUUGGAUAAGAAAUGAGUAAGUUAUGGCAGAAAGAAAAUUUGGGAAUGAGGGUUUCGCGAGAGAGACGAAGUUGCAGUUUCAUCAAUUCUGAAAUUUGUAUU